rnacentral:rRNA from 1 species
AGAAUCAACGCUGGCGGCGUGCCUAACACAUGCAAGUCGAACGAGAAAGUGGAGCAAUCCAUGAGUAAAGUGGCGCACGGGUGAGUAACACGUGACUAACCUACCCUUGAGUGGGGGAUAAACCUAGAGAAAUCUGGGCUAAUACCGCAUAAUACCUUCGGGUCAAAGGAGCAAUUCGCUUAAGGAGGGGGUCGCGGCCGAUUAGUUAGUUGGCGGGGUAAUGGCCCACCAAGACUAUGAUCGGUAUCCGGCCUGAGAGGGCGCACGGACACACUGGAACUGAAACACGGUCCAGACUCCUACGGGAGGCAGCAGUGGGAAUUUUGCGCAAUGGGGGAAACCCUGACGCAGCAACGCCGCGUGGAGGAUGAAGUCCCUUGGGACGUAAACUCCUUUCGAUCGGGACGAUUAUGACGGUACCGGAAGAAGAAGCCCCGGCUAACUUCGCGCCAGCAGCCGC